rnacentral:rRNA from 1 species
UCGGGAGUAUUGCUCAAUGGGCGAAAGCCUGAAGCAGCAACGCCGCGUGCGCGAUGAAGGCCUUCGGGUCGUAAAGCGCUUUUCGGUAGGAUGCAGUACUCCCGGAAUCAGUCACGGCUAACUACGUGCCAGCAGCCGCGGUAAAACGUAGGUGGCAAACGUUAUCCGGAUUUACUGGGCGUAAAGCGCGCUCAGGUGGCUCCGCAAGUCGGGCAUGAAAUCUCCUCGCCUAACGGGGAGAGGUUGUCCGAUACUGCGGGGCUUGAGAUCGGUAGAGGGUGGUGGAAUUCCGCAUGGAGUGGUGAAAUGCGUAGAGAUGCGGAGGAACACCAGUGGCGAAAGCGGCCACCUGGACCGAUUCUGACACUAACGCGCGAAAGCUA